ACACAUCAGAUUUUGGGCAAAUGAUUGUAGUGAGAUAAAGAAUAAAGCAGUACAUGGUGUUGAGACUCAAAUGAUGGAAGAAAUAGGCUGGAAAAUGCACAAGCAAGACAAUGUUAAAGAAGGGGCAUCUAGCGGGUGUGGUAAGUGAAAUCACUUAAAUAUGAAAAUUUUUUGUAUGAAUCAAUAGUUUAAACUUAAUCAGGCUAGUAGAGAGUUUGUGAAAAUGUCUUACUUCUAAGUGGAUGUAUUAAAAUGAAGCAAUAGGAUGAAGUCAAAUUUUUUUGUGGGGGCAAGGACCAUUGGACCACUAUUCUGGUUGUUUGUUUUUAUAAGGGGUUCAUGUGAUCCCUGGAUCUAAAAUAAGUUAGGGUUGUUGCGUUCAUGUUUCUGAAAAGGUAGACAAUGAUAAUUCAGACUUCAUGUGUUGCAUAAAUUAAAUAGUGACUGAUGUUAUUUUAUGAAAAAAUAAACAGACGAGGACUUGGAUGCAUUCAAUCUACAUAUUUACUAUGGUGGGGGCAUAUGUCAAAGAACCAGAAGAAAAAUAUUUGGGAGGCAGUAUGGAGAUUUUUG
rnacentral:lncRNA from 1 species